rnacentral:misc_RNA from 1 species
UACAGAGGCCCCAAGCGUUACCCGGAUUCACUGGGCGUAAAGGGUGUGUAGGUGGCAUAGUUAGUCAACUGUGAAAGACUCCGGCUCAACCGGGGUACCGCGGUUGAAACGGCUAAGCUAGAGGAUAUGAGAGGUCUGUGGAACUCAUGGUGUAGGGGUGAAAUCCGUUGAUAUCAUGGGGAACACCAAAAGCGAAGGCAACAGACUGGCGUAUUCCUGACACUGAGACACGAAAGCGUGGGUAGCGAAUGGG